rnacentral:lncRNA from 1 species
CAGAUUUUUUCCUGUUGAAGACUAACGAUAAUUUGUUUUAUAUUAUCUUAGUCAUAAUAUUCUUUACUGGGCUAGUUGAGCUCACCCUUUUCCUUUUUGUUCUAUUUUUCUUCUCAGGAGGCGAGAAUGUAGCGAGUACUAGUCGGGGUAUGGAAUAAAGGUCUUAGCAAGUUAUUUUAGUAGUCCUCACCAUUUUUGUAAAAUAAUAUAUCAAUAAUUGUAAUGAGGACUUAUUUAAGUGUUGAUAUUGUCUAGAAGACAAUAUUUGUAUUUAAACUCACAGUUUUUAUGUUGUAUAAAUAAAGUUGUAGUUGUUUCUGUACCAUGUUAUUGACGACUCAGAAUGGGUGUUGUAUACCUAUUUUGGGGGCGUCACAGUUGGUAUCAGAGCUUAGGGAUAUGAUCUCUG